rnacentral:rRNA from 1 species
UACGUAGGGUGCAAGCGUUAAUCGGAAUUACUGGGCGUAAAGCGUGCGCAGGCGGUUGUGCAAGACCGAUGUGAAAUCCCCGGGCUCAACCUGGGAAUGGCAUUGGUGACUGUACGGCUAGAGUGUGUCAGAGGGGGGUAGAAUUCCACGUGUAGCAGUGAAAUGCGUAGAGAUGUGGAGGAAUACCGAUGGCGAAGGCAGCCCCCUGGGCCAACACUGACGCUCAUGCACGAAAGCGUGGGGAGCAAACAGG